rnacentral:rRNA from 1 species
UACAGAGGGUGCGAGCGUUAAUCGGAAUUACUGGGCGUAAAGCGUGCGUAGACGGUUAUUUAAGUCAGAUGUGAAAGCCCCGGGCUCAACCUGGGAAUUGCAUUUGAGACUGAAUAGCUAGGGUGCGGUAGAGGGAAGCGGAAUUUCCGGUGUAGCGGUGAAAUGCGUAGAUAUCUGGAGGAACACCGGUGGCGAAGGCGGCAUCCUGGACCAAUAUUGACGCUGAGGAGCGAAAGCCAGGGGAGCAAACGGG